rnacentral:rRNA from 1 species
CCUACGGGAGGCAGCAGUAGGGAAUUUUCGGCAAUGGGGGGAACCCUGACCGAGCAACGCCGCGUGAACGAAGAAGUUAUUCGUAAUGUAAAGUUCUUUUAACAGGGAAGAAAGUGACGGUACCUUAGGAAUAAGCCUCGGCUAACUACGUGCCAGCAGCCGCGGUAAUACGUAGGAGGCGAGCGUUAUCCGGAAUGACUGGGCGUAAAGGGUGCGUAGGUGGUUUGGCAAGUUAGUAGCGUAACUCCAAGGCUCAACCUUGGAACUACUACUAAAACUGUUGGACUUGAGUGCAGGAGGGGCAACCGGAAUUCCUAGUGUAGCGGUGGAAUGCGUAGAUAUUAGGAGGAACACCAGUGGCGAAGGCGGGUUGCUAGACUGUAACUGACACUGAGGCACGAAAGCGUGGGGAGCAAACAGGAUUAGAUACCCGUGUAGUC